rnacentral:rRNA from 1 species
GACGAACGCUGGCGGCCCGCCUAACGCAUGCACGUCAAACGAGCGAGAUACAACUUGCUUUCUCGAGCGAGUGGCGAGCGGGUGAAUAUGGCAUGAUGAAUCUGCCUCAAAGAGGGGGGACAACAGUUGGAAACGACUGCUAAUACCGCAUAAGCCCACAGGUCGGCAUCGACCAGAGGGAAAAGGAGCAAUCCGCUUUGAGAUGGCCUCGCGUCCUAUUAGCUAGUUGGUGAGGUAAUGGCCCACCAAGGCGACGAUCGGUAGCCGGACUGAGAGGUUGAACGGCCACAUUGGGACUGAGACACGGCCCAGACUCCUACGGGAGGCAGCAGUGGGGAAUAUUGCACAAUGGGGGAAACCCUGAUGCAGCGACGCCGCGUGGAGGAAGAAGGUCUUCGGAUUGUAAACUCCUGUUGUUGAGGAAGAUAAUGACGGUACUCAACAAGGAAGUGACGGCUAACUACGUGCCAGCAGCCGCGGUAAAACGUAGGUCACAAGCGUUGUCCGGAAUUACUGGGUGUAAAGGGAGCGCAGGCGGGAAGACAAGUUGGGAGUGAAAUCUAUGGGCUCAACCCAUAAACUGCUUUCAAAACUGUUUUUCUUGAGUAGUGCAGAGGUAGGCGGAAUUCCCGGUGUAGCGGUGGAAUGCGUAGAUAUCGGGAGGAACACCAGUGGCGAAGGCGGCCUACUGGGCACCAACUGACGCUGAGGCUCGAAAGUGUGGGUAGCAAACAGGAUUAGAUACCCUGGUAGUCCACACCGUAAACGACGAAAAAGGGUGUUGGAGGAUUGACCCCUUCAGUGCCGCAGUUAACACAAUAAGUAAUGCCCCCGGGGAGUACGACCGCAAGGUCGAAACUCAAAGGAAUUGACGGGGGCCCGCUCCCGCAGUGGAGUAUGUGGUUUAAUUCGUCGCAACGCGAAGAACCUUUCCGAGUCCUGUCAUCCUGCGACGAGGGUGGAAACAGCGUUUUCUUUCCCGACGCAGAGACAGGUGGUGCAUGGUUGUCGUCAGGUCUUGUCGUGAGAUGUUGGGUUAAGUCCCGCAACGAGCGCAACCCUUCCUGUCAGUUAUUACGCAAGAGGACUGUGGCAGGACCGCCGUCGACAAAACGGAGGAAGGGGGGGAGGACGUCAAAUCAUCUUGCCCUCUAUGACUUGGGGUACACCCGUACUACAAUGGCGUUAAACAAAGAGAAGCAAGACCGCGAGGC